rnacentral:snRNA from 3 species
AUCGCUUCUCGGCCUUUUGGCUAAGAUCAAGUGUAGUAACUGUUCUUAUCAGUUUAAUAUCUGAUACGUCCUCUAUCCGAGGACAAUAUAUUAAAUGGAUUUUUGGAGCAGGGAGAUGGAAUAGGAGCUUGCUCCGUCCACUCCGCCCAUCGACCUGGUAUUGCAGUACCUCCAGGAACGGUGCACCCCCU